rnacentral:rRNA from 1 species
AUUGAACGCUGGCGGCAUGCUUUACACAUGCAAGUCGAACGGUAACAGGCCGCCAGGUGCUGCCGAGUGGCGAACGGGUGAGUAAUGCAUCGGAACGUGCCCAGUCGUGGGGGAUAACUACUCGAAAGAGUAGCUAAUACCGCAUACGAUCUAUGGAUGACAGCGGGGGACCGUAAGGCCUCGCGCGAUUUGAUCGGCCGAUGUCAGAUCAGGUAGUUGGUGGGGUAAAGGCUCACCAAGCCAACGAUCUGUAGCUGGUCUGCGAGGACGACCAGCCACACUGGGACUGAGAAACGGCCCAAACUCCUACGGGGGGCAGCAGGGGGGAAUUUUGGACAAUGGGCGCAAGCCUGAUCCAGCAAUGCCGCGUGCAGGAAGAAGGCCUUCGGGUGGUAAACUGCUUUUGUACGGAACGAAACGGCUCUGGUUAAUACCCGGGGCUAAUGACGGUACCGUAAGAAUAAGCACCGGCUAACUACGU